CAUAUCAAUAAGCGGAGGAAAAGAAACCAACAGGGAUUGCCUCAGUAGCGGCGAGUGAAGCGGCAAAAGCUCAAAUUUGAAAUCUGGCGUCUUUGGCGUCCGAGUUGUAAUUUGAAGAAGGUAUCUUUGGGCCCGGCUCUUGUCUAUGUUCCUUGGAACAGGACGUCACAGAGGGUGAGAAUCCCGUGCGAUGAGAUGGCCCGGGUCUAUGUAAAGUUCCUUCGACGAGUCGAGUUGUUUGGGAAUA
rnacentral:rRNA from 2 species